GUCAGAGGAGGGUUUAACUUGUUAUUGAGGAAGAGCUCCAGUGUCAGACGACAGCUGAGAGCAAACACAGACACUCCUGAUUCACCGCUGAGGCUUCAAAGCUUCUGAUCUGAGCUGAAAACACUUCUGAGAGAAAAUGGUGUGAUUGAUCAUCAAUGCCUGCAGGUACGUGGCGCAGAAGAUCCAGGCUGCAGUGAGAGGGGAGGCGCAGCCGGAGAAAACAAGCACCACGUCCUGCAAGCAGACAAAAGCACAAAAGGAUGGCAUGAUGAGCGCUGAAGAGCCAGCCUUGAUCCCCCCGCAGACCAGGGAGGUCGAUGUCCCGCGGAUAGAAGCGUGCGGGUCCUGAAAUUAAACUGAGAGCAGGAGGGUAGAGUGGAAGGCCCAUAAUGAGGACACAAACACAACACAAACAUACACAAACACAUACAAACACAUACAAAUACAUACAAACACAAACACACGCAUACAUGCUCUUCUUCGGCUGAUUGAACAUGCAACAUUUCUCGCACAAACAUAACAUAAAAACCCAAAAUGAACUUCCACUGACUCCCAGCUCUCAGUUUCUUUCUUUCCCACCCGUCCUUCAUCCAGUGGAGAGCGAGUCGGCAGAGAGAAUGAAAGCCUGAUCACCAAUUCCCCCGCAGAGGAACCGAUCAGUCUGGAUGAAAAGACUCUGCUGAUGAAGCUGUGCCAAAUCAUAUAUUCAUGUAUUCAUAGACCCAAUCUUUUUCACUGUGAUACUUUUCAGUAAAUAAAAAGAGAGAAUAUUUCUUGUGU